UACGUAGGGUGCAAGCGUUGUCCGGAAUUAUUGGGCGUAAAGAGCUCGUAGGCGGUUUGUCGCGUCUGCUGUGAAAAUCCAGGGCUUAACCCUGGACCUGCAGUGGGUACGGGCAGACUAGAGUGCGGUAGGGGAGAUCGGAAUUCCUGGUGUAGCGGUGAAAUGCGUAGAUAUCGGAAGGAACAUCAGUGGCGAAAGCGGCUUCCUGGACCAGUACCGACGUUCAGGCACGAAAGCGUGGGGAGCAAACAGG
rnacentral:rRNA from 1 species